AGUGCACUUCUCUGGGCUCAUGUGGUUUCACCAUAUAUGUGUUCUCCUCUUGACAAGUUUUCUCCAUCCUAGAGGAAGGGCCCCAGCUGCCAAACAAAGGGGCUUGGAAGAAAGGGAAAGUGGUGGCAUCGCUCUUCUGCUCUAAGAGCCAAGAUAGAAAACUGGAUUGACCACUUUUUUCCUCUGCUUUUCCAGAAGGAAAUGGUUUCCAGGAAUACUGAUCCUGACUCACUUACCAAGGCAAUGGGCUUAUGGUAUUUGACCCUCAAUGUUCCUCCUGUGCUGCCUGCCAUUCUUCUUUGAUUUGUCUCCAGCACAGCAGCGUUACUUUUAUCACAAAGGAGAAUGACAGAAAUCAAGGUCUUCAUGUUAAGCAUAUUAUUCUUAACUGCUUAGAGAAUUUUCCCACUGGAUUGCCCUAUUGUAUUUUAAAUUUUAUUUUAGCUCUAUUUUCUCGUCUGUAAAGUGAAGGGGUUAGGCUACGUUCUUCUCAUUCUAUGGUGCUGUGAUUAGGAGAAUGGGAGGUGAAGAAAGAAUCAGAGCUGCAAGUGAAUAUGAUUAUCACAGAAUCACAAGUACAGUGUAUUAUGCAUGUUUUAAAACUAGAUAUAGUAUUUAUAUUCUAAAGUGUUUCCUUAUGAAUUACCUUCAUCCUUCAGUGUACUGUUUAGUCUUGCUGCAAACAUAAUCCUUACACAAAUCCAAAUCAAUUUGUUUGUCCUCUAUGUAAGAUACUUAAAAUUUUCAAAAUGUGUUUAUGUCCAAAGAUGAAAUGUUUAGUUUUAUAGAAUUCUCUCAGUUGAUAUAGAGCUUUCUAAGACUGACUGUAAAUAUCCACUAAAAUACAUUCUCCCCCUUACUCAUGACUUUUGAGAGGACUUAAGCAUUAGCGAUCAUUUUAAAUUUAGUGAUUCCAUAUUCUUUAUUUAAUGCCUCGCUGCUCUAUUUGAAACCAAACCAUACAUUUCAACAUUUAAGAACAAAUGAAGUUUGAAAAGACUUGUAUUGGGUUCAAUAAUUUUUCUCUUAAAAAUACUUCAAAUAUUACUAAUUGUUCUUAUUGCACAGAGAUGCCAAACUGGUGGUCAGAGUAGUUAUCUGCUAAACUACUUAUAUCUUAGCUGAUAGAACAAGAGGAACUUAAAAUAUUCAGAGACUUAGAAUACAAUGAGAUUCGUACAGUUUGCUCUAAUAAGCCCUUGGAUAAACGGUGACUUUUGAAAGACUCUUGAAUUACACAUCCAGGCUUCAGAUUUGGACUUUGGAAAGCAGUAGCAUCAACAUCAAUAAAAGGGGUUGGUGGAUGCAAACUGUUACAUUUGGAAUGGAUGGGCAAGGGAGUCCUACUGUACAGCACAGGGAACUGUGUAUGACUGGGUCACUUUGCUGUUACAACAGAAAUUGCAGAAACAUUGUAAAUCAACCAUACUUCAAUAAAAAAAUAAAACAACAAAAUCACAACCACCACAACACAAAACCCAGGGAAAUACAUUUAAGUAGUUAAAACUUUUUCCUUCAAGUUUAAUUUUUCUAACACUAUUAGUAGAUUCCUAGUAAUAAACUGUCAUUUGUUCCAUCUUCUUGUUUUUUUAUGCAUCUAAAUAAGUAGGAAUUCAAAUUGUAAGGAAACUUAGGGCUUAACUUCUAUUUGUGAGUUCUAAUAUUUCACAUGCUAAAGUACAACCCCAGGCUCCAUGACUCGUUUUCAGUUUUUGAGCAGGAUUUCCCCAGAGUGUAUUUGCUGCUAAGACCACCAGACUGCCUUUUCUUCCUAAUACACGCACUGCUUUGGCUCCCAAGAUUUUUGACAUGAUGGCUUUUUAGUCCCUUAAAUUCAAUCCGAAGGUGGCUAUGAUCAAAACUGGUAAAGAGCAAACUCAGUCCCUUAAUAACAUCCACAGUCAUAGUUACAUCUGUGCACAACCAUGGCAGUGAAACCCAAAGCCAGGCAAAACUCCCCGCUUCUUCUAAACAAAAACAAAAAAAACAUUCAAUAUGCAGUUUAGUUUCAUUAAGUGGCUUGUAGAGGUCUGAAUGUCUCUCCAUGAACCUGGGUCACCUUCUGCACACAUCUGAGUGAUUUCUGGUUUCAGAUGGAAUCAUUCCUAACUCUCAGUAUGCUGAGGUUUGCUUUGAGUUUUAGAGUUUAUUCACACAAACUCGGGAGAUAUAAACUGAAAUAAAAAUACUAUGUUCAAAGAGUUGCCUGAAAGUUAAAACCACCCACCCUCACGGAGCUGCAGCCUUUGUAUCCUCUGACCAGAGUCUCUGGGAGGCUUACCCUCAGUGAAAUCAUCACCAGAGUCAUAGCUCCAAAUUUUUAGAGGCACAUCAAUUGAUGAUGAUAGAGUUUGAGUUAAUUUUUUUGGUCUUUUUGCUUAUAUCUCUGGUUUAUUUUCUCUGGGGCUUCCUCCCAGGACCAGGCAAGGGAAAGGAAGAAAUAGAGGGAGGCAGAGUCAUAACUCCUAAGUGUGCAUUUUCACUGAUGCUUCUGAUAGGGACUCUUAGAGUGGACUUGAGGGGAACAAGCUGAGGGCGAGCACAUAUCGACAGCUUGGUUGGCAGUACUUCCCUGCUGAGUGCCAAGUUACAGAUGCACUCCCAAUCAAUUCCCACACAGUUACAGUUCAGUAACUAUUCUCAAAGAAAAGAGCAUGGCACCAGGGGCUGUUAGAUGCAGGAACAUCAACAGAAGGUUGGAAGAGAACAAAUCUCCAAGCAAAGCAGAGCUAUGGUAGACCUAAAAAGACAAAGAAAUAAGCCAAGCCAAGUGUAUGUGAGUGUGAGCGUAUGUGUAAUAAAUGUAAUAAAAACAGACAUUAAAAAAUCAUCGUGAGUUCGUUAGUUAUAAGAUAUAUUGGUGCUUGCCCUAUGUCGGGCAAGAUACCUGUUGUUGAAUUGAAUGAAAUGGAAUACGCAAAUAAAGUCCUUAGAAAUCCCAACUAUUGAACAAAAAAGUGAAAAUACUAUGUGCAUAAGAUACAUUACUUUUAAAUGAAUUUUUUAGGCGUAAUAAAAUCUGUAUAACAAUUACAGCUUGGGAGUUCCCAUUGUGGCACAGUGGUUAACGAAUUCAACUGGUAACCAUGAGGUUGCGGGUUCGAUCCCUGGCCUUGCUCAGUGGGUUGGGGAUCCAGCAUCGCCGUGAGCUGUGGUAUAGGUUGCAGACACGGCUCGAAUCCCGUGCUGCUGUGGCUCUGGCGUAGGCCAGUGGCUACAGCUCCGAGUCUAUCCCUAGCCUGGGAACCUCCAUAUGCCUUGGGAGCUGCCCUAGAAAAGACAAAAAGACAAAAAAAAAAAAAAAAAAAAAAAAAAAAAACAGUUUUAGCUUGAAAACUGACUUAGAAUGAGACCCUUGCCUGCUGUGCUCUGCAAUCUAUUUCUAUAGCUUCAGAUACUGGCCCAUGAAGGUCUUUGUUCUCUGUGUGUGUGUGCACAUUAAUGUGUACUAUGCUUAUACAUAUGCUAAUAUAAAUAUAUUAGGUAUUAUAUAUAAAAAUUAACUUAAUUUUUAAAAUUUAGUAUAAAAUAUUGAAUAUGUAUACAUUGUAAACAUAGACUAUAUAGACCAUUUAUGAGUUGGUAAAUGGGACUUACUAGAGAAUAAAAAAAUAUCUGAAGAGAAGUUUUAAAAGAUAAAAUAUUUUAUAUUGAAUUUAAAGUUUAAAAAUAUUCAUUUUUAGGAGUUCCCAUCAUUGGCUCAGUGGUUGGCGAAUCUGACUAGGAACCAUGAGGUUGUGGGUUAGAUCCCUGGCCUUGCUCAGUGGGUUAAGGAUCCGGCGUUACCGUGAGCUGUGGUGUAGGUUGCAGAUGCAGCUGGGAUCCUGCAUUGCUGUGGCUCUGGUGUAGGCCGGUGGCUACAGCUCUGAUGGGACCCCUAGCCUGGGAACCUCCAUAUGCCAUGGGAGUGGCCCAAGAAAUGGCAAAAAAAAAAGCCAAAAAAAAAAUUCAUUUUUAGAACUCAAAAUAAUUGAUUUUUUCCUAGCUUGAAAUACUUAAAUUGAUUAAAAUGCACAGAAAUUCACUAAGACAAUAACUUUAAACUCAAUAUUGAGUAACUUUAAAAGCCAUUUUAUAGUUAAAAAAAAACAACAAAACCUGUUUUUGUUUUAAUGUUACUGAUUUUUCACUUGAUUCAAAAAUAUGUAUUUUAUUAAAAAUUCUACAAUAUUUUCUUGAUGCUGAUAGUCUGGCUAUUAGAUUGGAUAACCAGCUGACCUAGGUAGAAAUCCACAGUAGACUGAAAACUCUGUUACUAAUUUCUUUUUUUUUUUUUUUUUUUUUUUUGUCUCUUUGCCAUUGC
rnacentral:lncRNA from 9 species